rnacentral:rRNA from 1 species
ACCUUCGGGGAACGAUACGGCGUCGAGCGGCGGACGGGUGAGUAAUGCCUAGGAAAUUGCCCUGAUGUGGGGGAUAACCAUUGGAAACGAUGGCUAAUACCGCAUAAUACCUACGGGUCAAAGAGGGGGACCUUCGGGCCUCUCGCGUCAGGAUAUGCCUAGGUGGGAUUAGCUAGUUGGUGAGGUAAUGGCUCACCAAGGCGACGAUCCCUAGCUGGUCUGAGAGGAUGAUCAGCCACACUGGAACUGAGACACGGUCCAGACUCCUACGGGAGGCAGCAGUGGGGAAUAUUGCACAAUGGGCGCAAGCCUGAUGCAGCCAUGCCGCGUGUGUGAAGAAGGCCUUCGGGUUGUAAAGCACUUUCAGUCGUGAGGAAGGUAGUGUAGUUAAUAGCUGCAUUAUUUGACGUUAGCGACAGAAGAAGCACCGGCUAACUCCGUGCCAGCAGCCGCGGUAAUACGGAGGGUGCGAGCGUUAAUCGGAAUUACUGGGCGUAAAGCGCAUGCAGGUGGUUUGUUAAGUCAGAUGUGAAAGCCCGGGGCUCAACCUCGGAAUAGCAUUUGAAACUGGCAGACUAGAGUACUGUAGAGGGGGGUAGAAUUUCAGGUGUAGCGGUGAAAUGCGUAGAGAUCUGAAGGAAUACCGGUGGCGAAGGCGGCCCCCUGGACAGAUACUGACACUCAGAUGCGAAAGCGUGGGGAGCAAACAGGAUUAGAUACCCUGGUAGUCCACGCCGUAAACGAUGUCUACUUGGAGGUUGUGGCCUUGAGCCGUGGCUUUCGGAGCUAACGCGUUAAGUAGACCGCCUGGGGAGUACGGUCGCAAAGAUUAAAACUCAAAUGAAUUGACGGGGGGCCCGCACAAGCGGUGGAGCAUGU